AACGAACGCUGGCGGCAUGCCUAACACAUGCAAGUCGAACGAGACCUUCGUGCUUAGUGGCGCACGGGUGCGUAACGCGUGGGAACCUGCCCUUAGGUUCGGAAUAACUCCCUGAAAGGUGUGCUAAUACCGGAUAAUCUCUUCGCGCCAAGGAUGUCUCGCCUUUGGAUGGGCCCGCGUUGGAUUCGCUAGUUGGUAGGGUAAAAGCAUACCAAGGCGACGAUGCAUAGCUGGUCUGAGAGGAUGACCAGCCACACUGGCGAUGCGGCACGGCCCAGACCCCGACGGGAGGCAGCAGUAGGGUAUAUUAGGGGAGGGGCGAAGGCCUGACCACGCCACGCGGGGUAAGUGAUGCAGGGCUUAGGAUUGUAAAGCUGUUUGAGACGGGGUGAUAAUGACGGUAACGGGAGAAGAAGCACCGGCUAACUACGUG
rnacentral:rRNA from 1 species